CUCAACUGUGAGAGAGGAACUUGGCGUUGUCCUGUGUGCAAUAAAACAGCUCUUCUGGAGGGGCUAGAAGUGGACCAGUACAUGUUCUAAUCUACAUCCAGAAUUCGGAUUAUGAGGAGAUCACCAUUGAUCCGGUGUGUAGCUGGAAGCCAGUCCCGGUGAAACCAGACCUGCACAUUAAAGAGGACCCAGACGGCCCUGCCCUAAAACGCUGUCGCACCCUGAGCCCUAGUCAUAUGAUCUUGCCCAGCGUCAUGGAGAUGAUUGUAUCCCUGCGUUCCAUUCGGAAGGGCUCAUCCCUA